UGACACCUGUGGGGCUGCUCUGCCCUGGUCUUCUCUUCAGCGCCUGGGACUAGCAAUUGUGCCCUUCCACUAUGAAUUGCCUUGGGUUACCUAGGACCCAGCAUAUUCAGGCUCAGACCCUUCCUCUAAGUUGGGACCAUUAAGGGACCCCCCCCAGAAGUGCCAGCAGGGGGGACCUCACUGAAUUGCUCCCCAGAAAUCUAAGGGCAGGCCUAUGGUGCAGGAGCCAAGGGCCUGAAGGUGUAGGCACCUGCCUGGAGGAAGAGGCUGCGCUUGGAGCUUAGCUGGGAAAGUAUCCAACUCCCACAAGGACUCGGGGCCAACACUGAAAAACCUCAAGCUCACCAAAUCUCUCUCCCCUCUCCUGUCCCUUCCCUGUGUCUGUCCUUAAAAGAAGGCAGCAUGGCAUUCUGAGUAAUGAGGUAUUCAGGGAUGACUUCUGGGAGGAAAAACAACCCC
rnacentral:lncRNA from 1 species